UAAACGCAAGGCUGAGGGUCAGGCUGAACCCAAAACUACCAUUAACGUUGCCAGUAGUCCACCAGAUGGCUACGGACCUCUCUUCUCCUACGCUCCUCUUAUCCAGAAACAACACUUCAGCUCCACGAUUUCACCAAACAAGAAACUCUCUCUCUCUCUAUAGAACAACUUAUCCUCUCUCCAAUUCCAGAACUGCCAUCCCCAGGCUUCGCCUCCUCUGCCGGACUUCCGGAACUCAUUCCACAAGUGUUUCCGACGUCGAAUUCGCCGCGGAAGUUGGCCAGCAUCGUCUUUCCAAGGUUCCUGUCGCCAAUAUCAGAAAUUUCUGCAUCAUAGCACAUAUUGAUCAUGGGAAAUCAACCUUGGCCGAUAAAUUGCUUCAAAUGACUGGGACUGUGCAGCAGCGAGAAAUGAAGGAUCAGUUUCUUGAUAGCAUGGAUUUGGAAAGAGAAAGAGGCAUCACUAUCAAAUUACAGGCAGCUAGGAUGCGUUAUGUUUAUGAAAAUGAACCAUAUUGCCUGAAUUUGAUUGAUACUCCUGGGCAUGUAGACUUCUCAUAUGAGGUUUCUCGUUCUCUUGCAGCUUGUGAGGGUGCUCUCCUAGUUGUUGAUGCUUCCCAGGGAGUGGAAGCACAAACGCUGGCUAAUGUUUAUUUGGCCUUGGAAAAUAACCUCGAAAUCAUCCCUGUUUUAAACAAAAUAGAUCUUCCAGGUGCUGAGCCAGAUCGUGUUAUCCAUGAGAUUGAAGAGGUUAUUGGUUUAGACUGUAGCAAUGCAAUAUGCUGCUCUGCAAAGGAGGGAAUAGGUAUAACUGACAUUCUGAAUGCAAUUGUCAAACGGAUACCGUCACCCUGUGAUACUGCUAAACUGCCAUUGAGGGCUUUAAUAUUUGAUAGGCUUUAUUGCAUUUUUGAAUAUUCUUGCUGUUACUAUGAUCCAUAUCGUGGUGUUAUUGUAUAUUUCCGGGUCAUAGAUGGGAGUAUAAAGAGAGGUGACAGAAUCUAUUUCAUGGCCAGCAAGAAGGUAAAGCCCCAUAAUCAUUUACCAAUCAAUUCUUUUAACCCAUAUGUGUAGUUUAUUCCCCUUUACUGCUUGAUUCAACUGAAAACCCUCUACUGCUUGAUUCAACUGAAAAUGCAUUCAAAUACCAACUUAUAUGUACAUCAAAUCCUCUUUUUCUCCCUUUUAUUUUAAUGGUAAUUUCAUUGUCAUAUCACAGGAUUACUUUGCUGAUGAAAUUGGAGUUUUAUCUCCCAAUCAGUUGCAAGUGGAAGAAUUGUAUUCGGGUGAAGUAAGGCACCACCUGUUCUUUCUUUUUUCCCCUGUUCUUUCUUUUUUCUUUUAUUUGGGUUGUGUGGAGAAAUGUUUCUUCCUCUCUCUCAUACAUGCUCAAGAUUGUACCCACCCACAUGCUUGGGUGUCUUUGCACUAUGCAGUAAUAAAUUAUUAUGGCAACAAAAGGCUAGAUUAGAGAAUUUAUUUCAUCAACGAGAUCAGGUGUGAAAGCAACAAAAGGCUGUGAAAGUAACAAAAAAAACUCAUGGCAGAAGCCUUUUUUCAAUAGUUAAUGGCCUAAAAAACUUAGAGACUUUAUUUUAACCCAGAUCAGGUGACCAACCACGUAAUCAGCAACUGCAUCUUUUUUUGUCUUCCAUGAUGCUAAAGAAAAUGGUAAAAACAAUCUGCUAAACUACAUUUCCGCAUGCAUCUUUUCUAUGAAGCUAUUAUCACUCACUUUAUGAAAUUAUGAUAACCCAAUUGUCGAAAAGUCAAAUCCUUAAAAACCUGUCAAGGCAGAUAAAAGCCUGAAAUCCUACUAAAGAAGUUAUAACCUUUAUAUUUUAGGGGAAAAAGGUUAACUGUACUCGUUAAUUUGAUUUAAAGUGAGAUAAAAAAGCAGAGUAGAAAUUAACAAGUGCACUUGAAGAAUCCUGCCUAUAAUGGCGUUGCCUGUAGGCUGUAGCAUGUCUAUUUUAUUCAUGCUUCUUUAGGUGCUUCCAUUUCUAUGUACAAUGGGAGUGGUUCAUUUCCAACUGCUGGGUUGGAGCAUAUCAUAAUGGAAGAACUGCAUUGAACAAAUUUGGGUAUUUGUAUUUAGUAAGUUUUGGUCAUGUUGUUUUUGAAAUAUUUGCUGUGUCAAUUCUUAUAUUAUUUUCUCAAUGAUGUGUGCAGAUUUGAACUCUAAACCCCCGAGUUUCCAACUCCUCUGCCUUUCCUUUUUCUUUUUUGGACAAUGAUCACCUGCUAAUUGUUGCUUGUCAUGAAUUGCUUAUAUUUGUUGUGGCCUUAUUUUAAUUAGUUCUUUUCCUGAUAGCUAUUCUUUUUCUCCCCCUUUUUAUCUCCUGCCCCUUUGUUUUAUGGCUGAACUAAGAGCACAAAAGCUGAAAUAACUGAAAGCAAAAUUUUUGUUAGGUCAAUUGUAAUUAUAUAUAUAGUUCAGCUAUUAAGUAUGGUUAUAAUGGUUAUACAUAGCUUUUUAUUUAUUUAAGCCAAAUUUUAUGUAAUUGUGGUCAUACUCCUGUAACUGGAGAAUUUCAAGAAGUAACUUGGCAUGGUGCUUCAGACGCCUCAAACAAAAGAAAUUUAGUGGUUAUUUCAAGAAGUAUGUUACUUUACUGAAAGACGCUAUCUAAAGUGAAUCCCUUUAGUAGCUUGCUUGAUGUUAGGAGCUUGAUGAAAUAAAAAUCUCUUUCAAACCAACUUUUUUUUCUCUCUUCAAUCAUUGUCUCCCAUUAUUAGGAAAAUUCAACAAAUUCCAGAGUAUUGUGAGCUCUCAUUUUCUGACUGGGAUAUAGUGUUGGAGCUCAUUCUCUAUGACCAGUCUUUAUUAUGCUUUUGCAGGACCACCCCUUCCAAUAGGUAACUGCAAGAUGAAUCAAUUACGGGCCCCUCCCCACUUGCAUUUUUUUUUUCUCUGUGUAACUUAAAGUUCAUGUGACUUAAUACUUAAUAAUGUAACCUUUUGCAUUAAACUCUAAUCUUAAUUUUCCCCCUUUCUUACCUUGUAUUUCUGUCCAGGUUGGCUACCUUUCUGCUUCCAUAAGGUCAGUAGCAGAUGCCAGGGUGGGUGGUACUGUCACUCACUACAAUAGAAGGGCAGAAAAUUCACUACCUGGAUACAAGGAAGCUACUCCAAUGGUGUUCUGUGGCUUGUUUCCUGUUGAUGCUGACCAGUUUCCUGAGUUACGUGAUGCAUUGGAAAAGCUACAACUCAAUGAUGCUGCAUUAAAGUUUGAGCCUGAAACUUCAAGUGCCAUGGGUUUUGGAUUUAGAUGCGGUUUCCUUGGUCUACUUCACAUGGAAAUUGUUCAGGAAAGGCUUGAGAGAGAAUACAAUCUGAGCUUAAUAACGACUGCUCCAAGUGUUGUGUACAGAGUGAACUGUGUAAAUGGCGAUACUGUUGAGUGCUCAAAUCCAUCUUUACUUCCUGAACCUGGAAAAAGGUUGUCAAUUGAGGAGCCGUUUGUGAAGAUUGAAAUGCUUACACCAAAAGAUUAUAUUGGUCCACUUAUGGAGCUGGCUCAAGAUAGAAGAGGCAAUUUUAAAGAGAUGAAAUUUAUAACUGAGAAUAGGGCAUCGAUCACAUAUGAAUUACCCCUUGCUGAGAUGGUGGGUGAUUUCUUUGACCAGUUGAAGUCCAGGAGUAAAGGAUAUGCUAGCAUGGAGUACACUUUUGUUGGGUACAAGGAAAGUGAUUUAAUAAAACUUGACAUUCAAAUAAAUGGUGAUCCAGUUGAACCGCUAGCAACUAUUGUGCACAAGGAUAAGGCAUAUGCUGUGGGAAGGGCUUUGACGCAAAAGUUGAAAGAGCUUAUACCACGACAGAUGUUUAAAGUGCCCAUUCAAGCAUGCAUUGGUUCAAAAGUUAUUGCCAGUGAAUCAUUGCCAGCAAUUAGGAAGGAUGUCUUGGCCAAGUGCUAUGGUAAGAAGUACAAAACUUUGGUAACGUUUAGGUUCUGUUUGGUGCAAGGGGUUGGACAUGAUGCAACAAGACAAUAUUGUAUUGUGUGGGAUAAGACAUAGUACAAGACAAAUAAUUGAUGCAUCAAACAAAUGAAGAGGCUAAGGGCUGGGCAGGACAAGAAUCCAAGUUCAUUCUGUUAAUUUGAUACAUCAAAUGCAGGACAAGCAGCGAUUGUCUGGUUGUAUCAUGUCUAAGCCAUGGAACCAAGCACAGUAUUCGGAAGCUAAUUAAUAUUCAUCAAUAGAAAAAUAUAAUAAAUUCUUAGGAUAAAUUAGUAAAACCUUUGAAAUUUGUCAAAAUGUAUAUUUUACUAUUUGCUAGUUUUAAAAUUUGUAAUUUUAGUCCUUAUGCUGCCAUCAAUAAAAUGUGUAAGAUUUUGAGGGUUUUUCAUAAUUUCCUAAUUCUUACUCAUUCCGUUUCUGCCAAACUAAGCUUUGUAAUUUAUUUUUCAUAGGACUCACUAUCUUGCUUCCCACUUUUGUCUAAGGUGGAUUUUUCUUCCCAUUCUAUUUGCUCUUAUAGGAUCUUGUUAUUCUAUUGAAGCGAGGAUAUUAAGGCGUAGGCUAAAGGAUAACAAGAAAGUGAAUAGUACUUAUUAGUUUAUAACAGAAAAAUAUUUUUCCCUCUUGUAGGUGGGGACAUUACAAGGAAAAAGAAGUUGCUCAAGAAACAGGCUGAAGGGAAGAAAAGAAUGAAGGCAAUAGGUAAGGUAGAUGUACCCCAAGAAGCUUUCAUGGCUGUAUUGAAACUUGAAAAGGAGGUUCUAUAAUCAUUAUUACUUCUUAAGUAAUAUUAAUUCCUGUUAAUACAAUUUAAAACUUUGGAUGGAAAAUAAAGAAGUUUGUACCAAUUUUCUUUUUUACCUAUUUAUUUAUUUCCCCUUUGAGGUGGUUCAGGUUCAGGCUGAAAUACUCCAUCAUGUAAAGUUCAUCAAAAUGAAAAUAUAAUUCAUGGCAUUCUCAAAUUUGUUAGUUUUUCUUAGACCUUAAAUCAUUGCAGGCAAACUUGGUAGCAGCUGGUUUGUAGUGGGUGCUGCACAAUUUAUACAUAUUUUUAAUGUCCAGACAAGGUCUAUGUUCUCACAUAUGAAUCAAAACAAUGGCAUUUCAGGUUUUUGAAUUUUAUUCUAAAAUUUCUCUUUCUUUUUUUUUU
rnacentral:misc_RNA from 1 species